UUCAAUUUCAAUACUUUCCAAAUAUAUCAAAUUAAAAUCACGGUUGACAUUAUGACAUAACUUCGUUCGGGCUUUUUUCACUUAAUCAAAUUUUAGAGGGUAUAAAAAACUUAACAGGACUCGAGAUCCAUUACUGGCCGUGGCUUGACGUUGCUUUCGUCUUAGCUGCAAAUGCAAUAAAAUAGAAAGGUACAUGAAAUAACUCAAAGUAUCAGAAAUGCAGUUACACAAAAACACAAGGCAUUACUCGGUCACUCCUCAGACCCCAUCAGACAGUCAGGCCCCCGGCUGUUUCUCGGUGCCUGUGCAUAGCGAAUGAACGGAAUGGCUUGUAAUGCCAGGCAGGGGAAUGGUAGAGAUGCCGUUGAGGUAGCUCUGUGUUAAGCCUAUCCAGCUUGAUUAAAGUGCAUUAUGUCAGAUGAAAGAGGCACCCCAAGUGCGGCAUAAGCCAAGGGAUUUCUGCUUAAGUUUAUAUGACAAAAGCAUGAAUAUAUAAAAUAAAGGGCAAGAAUGCGCAAGCUAUUCUUAUUAGAAAAUGGCAA